UACGGGGGGGAGCAAGCGUUGUUCGGAUUUACUGGGCGUAAAGGGCGCGUAGGCGGCCACCGCAAGUCGACUGUGAAAUCUCCGGGCUUAACCCGGAAAGGUCAGCCGAUACUGCGGGGCUAGAGUGCAGAAGGGGCAACUGGAAUUCUCGGUGUAGCGGUGAAAUGCGUAGAUAUCGAGAGGAACACCUGCGGCGAAGGCGGGUUGCUGGGACGGUACUGACGCUGAGGCGCGAAAGCGUGGGGGAGCGAACAGG
rnacentral:rRNA from 1 species